rnacentral:rRNA from 1 species
UACAGAGGUCCCGAGCGUUGUUCGGAUUCAUUGGGCGUAAAGGGUGCGUAGGCGGCUUUACAGGUCCGUUGUGAAAACUCGAGGCUCAACCUCGAGACGCCGGUGGAAACCGUAAGGCUAGAGUCCGGAAGAGGAGAGUGGAAUUCCUGGUGUAGCGGUGAAAUGCGCAGAUAUCAGGAAGAACACCCGUGGCGAAGGCGGCUCUCUGGGACGGUACUGACGCUGAGACGCGAAAAGCGUGGGGAGCGAACAGG